rnacentral:rRNA from 1 species
UACGAAGGGGGCUAGCGUUGCUCGGAAUGACUGGGCGUAAAGGGCGCGUAGGCGGAUGGCACAGUCAGAUGUGAAAUUCCCGGGCUUAACCUGGGGGCUGCAUUUGAUACGUGUUGUCUAGAGUGAGGAAGAGGGUCGUGGAAUUCCCAGUGUAGAGGUGAAAUUCGUAGAUAUUGGGAAGAACACCGGUGGCGAAGGCGGCGACUGUCCUUGACUGACGCUGAGGCGCGAAAGCGUGGGGAGCAAACAGG